rnacentral:tRNA from 1 species
GCCCUAAUAAGCUAAAUGACCAGCUGUUAAUCUUGUAAAUUAAAAAAUGGAGGUUCAAAUCCUUCUUUUGGCU